rnacentral:misc_RNA from 1 species
UGCCACGUACAGAUAUGCCAUUAGGCUAAUGAGUAUUCUGCCUUUAGCAUAAGAAAUUGUAAUAGUAACAUUUAAAUGACAUUUUCAUUCCACGCUGUAUUAUCAAUCAUACGUCUGUUUUGCUGUUGGGAUCUAAUUACACCUGAUGAAUCGAUUGACUAACUUCUUCAGUCACUUUCUAAUUUCGCUCAUCAAUUUUUGAAGGAUGAGUUUAAACGCCCAAAUCAAAAGGAUCACCGCCAAAAGAGGCGCAAAAAGCCAACUUAACAAGUCUGCCAACAAAGAAGAGAAAAUUCCGAACAGAGACUUGAAGAUUCCCAACAAAGGAAGGAUUCCGCCAGUCAACCACGAGAAAGUUUCCAGUUGGUCGUAGAUCUCGUCAUCCGAGGAAUACAAACCCCAUGAUACCCUUGCAAUCGAACAAAGUAGGAAGAGGAAGAAGCUAAAUCCGAUAAUACAUAUACCAAACCCUAAGGAUGGUGCUAAAACUGCAUAAAUGCCUGCCACAAAUGUAAUCACCAUUGCUACCAUAGCAUAGAAUAGAAAACCGAAGGCACAUCUUAUUAACCAAUAGUAUGCUUCCCCAAAUCCUAAGAUCACCAGCAUAAGGUGGGUAAAGACAGAACAAGUAGAUAAAACCAUAGCUAUGGUAUCUGAAACUAUAAAUGCUUUGAAAGUCCAACUUUUGCUUAAGAUAGGAGUUCCCUUCUUCAAAUCGUUUUCAUCACUUAUAUAACCACCGGGUAUGGUAAAUGCUGCGGCAAAAGUUACUGUUGCUAUAAGU